rnacentral:rRNA from 1 species
UACAGAGGUCUCAAGCGUUGUUCGGAUUCAUUGGGCGUAAAAGGGUGCGUAGGCGGCGCGGUAAGUCGGGUGUGAAAAUCUUGGAGCUUAACUCCGAAACUGCAUUCGAUACUGCCGUGCUUGAGGACUGGAGAGGAGACUGGAAUUUUACGGUGUAGCGGUGAAAAUGCGUAGAUAUCUGCAGGAACACCCGUGGCGAAAAGCGGCGCGCUGGACCACAACUGACGCUGAAUGACGAAAGCUAGGGGGAGCAAAACAGG